rnacentral:rRNA from 1 species
GACGAACGCUGGCGGCGUGCUUAACACAUGCAAGUCGAACGGAAAGGCCCUGCUUUUGUGGGGUGCUCGAGUGGCGAACGGGUGAGUAACACGUGAGUAACCUGCCCUUGACUUUGGGAUAACUUCAGGAAACUGGGGCUAAUACCGGAUAGGAGCUCCUGCUGCAUGGUGGGGGUUGGAAAGUUUCGGCGGUUGGGGAUGGACUCGCGGCUUAUCAGCUUGUUUGUGGGGUAGUGGCUUACCAAGGCUUUGACGGGUAGCCGGCCUGAGAGGGUGACCGGCCACAUUGGGACUGAGAUACGGCCCAGACUCCUACGGGAGGCAGCAGUGGGGAAUAUUGCACAAUGAGCGGAAGCCUGAUGCAGCAACGCCGCGUGCGGGAUGACGGCCUUCGGGUUGUAAACCGCUUUCGCCUGUGACGAAGCGUGAGUGACGGUAAUGGGUAAAGAAGCACCGGCUAACUACGUG